UUAAUUGAAGAGUUUGAUCAUGGCUCAGAUUGAACGCUGGCGGCAGGCCUAACACAUGCAAGUCGAGCGGUAACAGGAAUUAGCUUGCUAAUUUGCUGACGAGCGGCGGACGGGUGAGUAAUGCCUGGGAAUAUGCCUUAGUGUGGGGGAUAACUAUUGGAAACGAUAGCUAAUACCGCAUAACGUCUUCGGACCAAAGAGGGGGACCUUCGGGCCUCUCGCGCUAAGAUUAGCCCAGGUGGGAUUAGCUAGUUGGUGAGGUAAAGGCUCACCAAGGCAACGAUCCCUAGCUGGUCUGAGAGGAUGAUCAGCCACACUGGAACUGAGACACGGUCCAGACUCCUACGGGAGGCAGCAGUGGGGAAUAUUGCACAAUGGGGGAAA
rnacentral:rRNA from 1 species